GGAAGCGGGCGCGGAUCGCCCUCUUUAAGCAGCCCUGCUGUACGGAAGACUUUGUCCUUGGCCGCGGCCUCGGGAGCUGCCAUGCUGCACGGAAGGGGAAAUCAUUCUCAAGGGAAUCAUCUGGGUGGAGGUCACAAGAGCUUAGCUGAAGAUGGAUGGGAUGAGAUCCUCUUGGAAGAUGGCUUUAAUCUGGUUGGAAGUCUGGAGACUGUUGCAGAGGCCAAGAGAUUGUCUAGGCCCAAAAUGGGAUUGUGGGAUUAGAGCCUUUAAAAACUCCAUGCUUCUACUCAGAAGCUGGAAUUUGGAUUUUGAGCUACCAUUUUCCUUCUUUGCCAGAAAAAUAAUAAACUUCUCUUCCUUCUCCUCAAA